UGAACCUGGAGUAUCAGCCCAGCUCAGGCACCUUGGCAGAAUGGAUCCAGAGAAGCACAGUCACCAGAGGGAGUAUAGAGAACCAAAGGCAUGCAGUCAGAGGAGAGAGUAUGAAGAACCAGAGAGGUACAGUCGGCGGAGGGAGUACGGAGGACUGAGCUCAGGACAAUGGGACGAUAGCCUUGAGAAGAGAGGCAAUGGCCAGGCUAUGCCCCGAGAGCCCUACAGCGAAUACUCCAGCAUGAGGCGAACUAGAGAAGGUGGGAAGGAGUAUGGUGCUUCCUCUGCUAUGAGCCACAUCAUAUACCCAUCAUCCAGAGACUGGAGCAAAGGCUCAUUGAGGGGUAGCAGUGGUCCCUUCUCCCCAGACACAGAUAGGGAUGUUGAUGGAGAUCCUGUGGAGCUCAGUGUGGAGGACCUGGAACUCGCUCGUAAGAAGAGGGAGUUGCAGGUCAUAGAGGAAAAGAUAGCUCGCAAGAAAGCUGUUCUUGCUCUGCAAAAAGUUAAACGCAGAGCUAAGGACAUGCCUGAAACACAGGCUGCAUCCGCAACAGCGAAGGGCAUGUCUAAACAGAGGAAGGUGAGCGAUACAACAUUCCAAAGAUACAGUAAUGUCGCGGACCAGUCGUCACGCAUAUGCCUACCUCUUAAACGGAGGGUGCUGGACAUUCUGAGUAAGCUCAGAAGAACACCGGUACGGUACCUACUGCGUAAGGAUACCCCUGCCAAGCUGAAGAAACAAAACAAGAUGCGAGCAUUGGAGCUGAUGAUUAGCGCUCCCCUAGAAAAUGAAGAGGCCCAUCCUCUGAGACUGAGAGUGAAGGGUUUAAUGAACCAACGACGCUCUCCCAACAAUGAGGUGGUCGCUAAUGAUAAACAACAUAAUCCAACCAUUCAGAGGCCAGUUCACUCACUCAGGACACAGGAGAAAGACAUAGCAGCCACAGGCUUCCAGCGCUUCCUCAAUGUCCUCAAUGAAGGUGUGGACCUCAACAAGCUCUCAAAGAUCGUCAACGACGAAAAUGAGCUACUCAUUGUGGGCGAGGAGCUACCACAAGUUUGGCCGACUCUGCUCGAGGGUCAUGUUGACUACAGCAGUAGGUCCAAGUCUUCUCCGUUUGAGGAGAAGAAGGUGAGGCUUGAGGAUGAGCAGCGGUACGAGCGGAUGCAGACCCUGCUGGAGAUCGUUGGGCUGGACUUGGGGGUUGAGGAGUUGGGUCGGCUGACAGACAGGACCAAUGAUAGGCUAUAUGGAAAGAUGGGAGACUUGAAAAGGGACAGAGCCAGAGAAGGGGAAAGUCCUGCGAGAGAGGGAUGCAGGCAAAGAUGCUCUAGUACCAGAGUCAGAGAAAGAGACAGAUCUGAGAGAAACCGAAAGGGAGACGGGCACAGACACUCCAGUACCAGAGAGAGCGACAAGGACAUACCGGUAGUCAGAGAAACAAACAGAUCAGAAAGGAACAGAGAUAAAGACGGGGACAGAGACCCAGAGAAGGACUGGGACGGAGGCCGAGAGAGAGACCGGGACAGAUCUAGGAGAGACGGGGGCAGAUACAGAUCUGAGAGAGAUGGGGACAGAGACCCAGAGAAAAGCAGAGACGGAGGCCGAGAGAAAGACCGGGACAAAAUGAGAGACCGGGACAGAUACAGAUCUGAGAGAGACAGAAAACGAGAGAUAGCCAAGGAUAUAGACAGGUGGCUGCAAAGGACCAGAGACGGAGACAAACGCUCUAGGACCAGAGACUGGGACAGAGAGAGAUCUGAGAGGGAUAGGUAUGGGGAUGAGUCCAGGGAACGCUCCAUUGAGCUCUACUCAUACUCCAUGGACCCUAUAUUCCCUGUUUCUCAUCCCCAUGCAUCUAUGAUGGCUACCUACUCCACCACCCAGUACUCUCAGUAUAUGGCAUACCACAGCAGCCCCUACACCAUGGCCUUCCCUCCAGGGUGCGGUUAUCCCGCUGGUACCAUGCCCCCUGGUAUUAUGCCCCCUGGUAUUAUGCCCCCUGGUAUUAUGCCCCCUGGUAUUAUGCCUCCUGGUACCAUGCUUCCUGGAAUCAUGCCAGCUGGUGCCAUGCUGCCUAGUAACAAGCCCCGCCAACCUAACCCCCCUGGGUAUCCACCCUACACCAACUUCCCCCCAUAUUACUCUAAUGGCACCACAGCCUUAAACCAGACAUACACAUACACCCAGCCUGCCAGCACUCGAGCAGUCUUAAGUCAGAGAUACACAUACAUCCAACCCACUAGAAACCGCAGGAAAAAGACACAGAAGCAUGCCAGAGGGAAAGUGUCCUGUCAGAUGAUGACAAAGAAGUCCCCCGCGGUUUUGACCACUCAGAUAGCGACAAAGAAGUACCCCCCUGAACCAGGGUCCAAGAUUAAAGCAAAGGGGAGAAACAAUAUAUUCUUCACAGGUAUAUUCAUGAAGAGUUAUCACAGUCAUCUAAGGAAGUUCCAGUAUUAUUUGAAACGGCUUGCGAAGAGGAGGAAUAAGGUUCACCAGCGCAAAAGAAAGCGAUUGCUUGCAGAAGCAGCAGGGAGAGUGGCCCCUCACUUCCCCUUUGAACCGGAGCCCAAGAAAGACGGGGAGAAACUACAUGCUGACACUUCUGAAGAAGUGGUUCCUCAGGAAGCUGCAAAGAAUGUGGAGGCACCAUCUGAAACAGGGCCUAAGAAAGAACCAGAAGGUGAGAAACUACAUGCUGACACUGCUGAAGAAGUGGUUCCUCAGGAAGCUGCAAAGAAUGUGGAGGCACCAUCUGAAACAGGGCCUAAGAAAGAACCAGAAGGUGAGAAACUACAUGCUGACACUGCUAAAGAAGUGGGCCCUCAGGAAGCUGCAAAGAAUGUGGAGGCACCAUCUGAAACAGGGCCUAAGAAAGAACCAGAAGGCGAGAAACAACAUGCUGAUGCUGCAGAGAAAGUGGCUCCUCAGGUGACUGCGAUGGACACUGUGGCCCCCUCUGAAAUGGGCCCCAAGAAAAAAAAGUUGUAUCCAGGUAUCUUCAUGAAGAUUCUAAUGAGACGUCUAAAGAGGCAACAGUGCAAGAUAAAAGGGAAGAAGAAGCAUUUUGCAAAGAGGAGGAAAAAGGCUUUCCAGUACAAGGGGAAGAGACCAUUGGUAGACACUAAGGAAAAAGUGCCUCUUCUAGAGGCUGCAAAGGACUCUGGGAACCCCUCUGAACCAUGGCCCAAGAAAAAGAAAAAAAAGAAAACACUAGAGGAAAAAGGAGGUAUAUACUACCCAGGGAUAUUCAUAAGGGUACACAGAACCUAUUUGACAAGGGGGAAACUGGCAAAAGCAGCUGCUGAAGGCACUGAGGCCAUUUCUGAACCAGCACCCAUGAUUGAAGGGGGGGGAGGAAUGACAGAAGGGGAGGAACUGCUUGCAGACACACUAGAGAAAGGGGUUCCUCAAGUGGCUACAAAUGACUCUGGGCUUCCCCCUGAACCAGGGCCCUACAAAGAACCAGAAAGAGAGGAAGAAACUAUGUUAGAAGAGGAGAAACUGCUUGCAGAUCAUGUGGCGAAAGUGUCUGUAAAGGGCCCUCAGGUCCUCUUGGAACCAAAGGCUGCGAAAGACAGAGAAGGAGAGGACGAUGCAAUUAUAGAUGGUGAGAAACUGCUAGCAGACCCUGUGGAGAAAGUGGCUAUAACAGGCCCUGGCUUGCUCUCUGAACCAGAGGCUGAGAAGGAGACAAGGGGAGAAACAACCAGUGGCAUGAGAAUUAAUGAAGGAAAAAUAAGCUUGAAGAGUUCAACCUGAAGAUGGGCACGCCUAACACAGCCUCAAAGGAUGGCUAGCUGUUAUCUUCACUUGGCAUCAUGAGCUCAUCGCACACUAGAAUAGAACCUGCUGCUGACCCAUCCAGACCCUAUGGACAUCAGUUGGCUUACAUUCUUACCUAUCAACCAUUUAAUAGAUUUGUAAUCACUAAAAAAAUAUUUGUUAAAGUUUAGCCUCAUCCUUAAAUGCUUUGUAUUGAAUUUAUUUUCAGUGUAACUUAUUGAUAUUGUGUGUGGGGUAUGGGUAGGGUCUAGCACAUUCAUAUAUGCUAAGUACCUUUAGCGCCGAUUGAUGAUAGUAUCUUCUGGCCGGGGGAGUUUAAUUAAGAGCCCCGACCCUUGCACUAAACAUUAACACGCAUCGCUUGCGGCCUGAUUUUGGAACAUAAGGAACUAUCUUUCAUAUCAGCGUUGGACAAAAAUGCACAUUUAUUGGGUUAGGGUUCCCACACGGCCAUAUUUCCAUGUUACAGUGCUUGUUUACGGAAAACGGACGGAAGACGGAGUCGACUACCUUUGCUAAUUACCGAUCUGCAUCUCCAAAACCCUGUGUGUAAACAGAAGAUGGACACCACAAACUCGUUGUCACUGAAAGAUACUGUCGGCUGCAACUGUUAAAACCGGUUUCAUAAACUGGGUGGUUUGAGGCAUGAAUUCGGAUUGGCUGAAAGCCAUGGUAUAUCAGACCAUAUACCAUGGGUAUGACUAAACAUUUAGUUUUACUGCUCUAAUUACAUUGGUAACCAGUUUAUAACAGCAAUAAGGCUCCUCUGGGGGUUUGAUGUAGGGCCAAUAUACCACGGCUAAGGGCUGUGUCCAGGCACUUCGUGUUGCGUCGUGCUUAAGAACAGUCCUUAGCCCUGGUAUAUUGGCCAUAUACCACAACUCCUCGGGCCUUAUUGCUUAAAUAACAGAGUAAGUGUACAUUUUGCAUAUGAAAGUAGAUGCCUUGAUGUUUCUAGAACCGUACUGCAAUUUAGAUGGGAGUAUUUGGCUGCCAGAGACAAUUUUCCUGUUCUAAACCAAAUAAGGGCCUGGAGUUUAUUUGGUCUGGUCAUGUGGUCAAGAAAAAUUCCUGGCCCUAGAUAUAGUACAUGUGUAUCAAUGGGAUGAAAAUACUAUUGACGGCAUUAUGUUUGUAAGUUAUCAUGCCUGAUAGCUAAAAGUAAGAACUGCCCAUGUUUCAUUCCCCAGUGCAGUCAGCCCUCCUAUUUCUAUAGAUCUUUCACUUUGUAAAUAUGUAAUUGAAUAAAAUAUUCGGUCUAUUGUAAGUGUGUAGUGUAUCAUAUUUCAAAUUAACUUCAACCCAUUGAGCUUCACAUUCCUUUUCAGGGACAACUUCCAUUGGUUUUGUAUUAGAUAAUUCCAUGCACUUUCGCAUUCUGCCCUAUUGGUGGCAGUAUUGGAUUUUUGAUCCUAUGAAGCUAUAAUUAACCUAGAAGCAGGGGCCUGGAAACGAGUUUGUUUGAUCAGUUGCCGUUCUAACAAAUGUAACUAUAUACAAUAGUAUUUUCUGACUGGUUGUGUGCAUGCAAGUUGUUUGAACCCUCAAGAUCCAGAAUGAGACGGCGAACACAUAAAGGCCUGCGCGAGGGUAGCAUUAGCGCAGAAGGGGCACACUGGAG
rnacentral:lncRNA from 1 species